AUCGUUUGUUUCCCCUUGUCUUGGCUGGGGCUUUCGCUCAUGGGUUUUACUUGGUGUAUCCUUUUCCUUGCAUUCUUUUUCUUUUUGUUGCCAUCUCGUGCUUUUGGCUGUUUUCUGUUCAUGGUAUCGAUGGACUGUGUUUAUUAAAGCAUUUGUCUUUGAAUUAUGUCGAGAUUUUCUGCCGAUGUUCUUCUAUAGAUGAAUGUAUUAGUAUUUUCCAUCAUAUCCAUUUAUUACUGCCUAUUGCGGAUUGAUCCGUUAACGGUUUGUAAUUGUAUAGGAUCUAGGAAAUGGUGGUGUCUUCGUUGCUACAAGAUGUUAAUUCCUUACUUAAUAGGAGUCUCAUUACAGGAGGUUACUAGAUGCAUGUCUUGUAGUGCUUCUGAGCGAGCAGUUUCAACCUUAUGAUCUUAGUGAACUGAGGAUCUGAUGGAUAAGGUGCAAAACCUUAAACGUUAAUGGCCUUGUCCCGCUCUUGAUCCCUUGACAAACUCUGGUAUUCAUGCUCUGAUAGCAUUUAGAAAACUGUGUCAAACAACUAGUGAUUGAGUUCUUUAGAGCACCUUCAGAUGCUAAGGCGGUAGCAAAUGGGUUUUGAAUGCUUGUAUACUUGUGAAAUCAAGUCUAUACGCACAAUCUAUGAGAGAAUGUUUUCCUCGGUGAUGAGCUCUUUCUUUCUGUAAAAAGUACUCUUUUCAAAUGCAUGUCGAGGUCUUCCCAUGAUGUUGGCAUCAAGUUGUUUUUGGCUGAAAUAUGUAGGUUUGAGGAA